rnacentral:lncRNA from 1 species
GACUGGGAGGUUUGAUUUCUUGAAUGCUUCGGAUCCUUACCAGGCCUAUUAUCAGCACCUUUUGGUUCAAGUUCGCGCACAGAACCAGAAGAUUCUUGAGUAGCUUAAUUUGCCAUUUUUAACUCUUUUCUGAUCAUUUUUUAAUACUUUUCUUAUACUAUCUCAUCUGGCUUAAAUUCAAUUUUUUUGGAGAAAGUGUUGAAUAGACGAUUGAAAACUUGCAAGUUUGCAGCUGACAGAAUAAGGUAAAGCUAUAUUAUUAGCACAAAGGAUGGAUUUCGGCUAAUUCAUUGUUCUUUGAGCCAAUGGUUCAUUAGAAACAGGUAAGCAUUAGCGUACACAUUAUCCUCCCUCUACCUCAUGUAGUGUUUUUGGCAGAAAACCUCUUAAAUUUCAUCAUUUAAAUAUUGUUGUAAACAAGGACGAUCCUUAAAGUAUGACUAAAUGAGCAGAACACAUCUAACUGUUAGCUUUCCAUCGGGAAACAGUCCAAGACUCUUCUACCCUUACACGAUUUUGCAAGUUCUAGAACUGGAAAUGAUUUAUACAUCUGAGUUUUCUCAGCAACAACCGAAAAGGGUAUACAUAUAUGUGGAUCAUAUGCAGAGGCGGAGCCAUGAUUUCAAGUUUAUGAGUUUGAGAUCCUAAUCAUUUUAAAUUAUUAGGUUCUAAAUUGAUAAUUCAUACAUAUUGAAUGGAUUUUUAGACAAAUACAGGGUUUGAACAAAAGCUACAGGGUUCAGCCGAACCCGCUCCCAACACUCUAGCUCUGCCCCUGAUCAUAUGGUAAAUCUCAUAAGUCAAAAAGAAUGUAGGAACAUAGGCUGGCACAUUUUUUUGAGCUUUUCUGAACCAAAAUCUAGAAGGCGUUUGUAUAUCAGGAUUGUGUAACAAAUUUUCACCUCAAAAUGGAUAUAUAUGUUUAUAGAAUUGGUUGAUCAGGUUUUAUAUAUAUAUAUAUGCUUUUGCGCAGUUGGUAGCUUGCGCGAAACAAACUAUUGGAAGGAGACGUCUGGUCAUUAUGGCCCUUGUGCCUAGAGCGGACCCGAUGCAAAAUGCAUCAGAUUU